rnacentral:misc_RNA from 1 species
UACGUAGGUGGCAAGCGUUGUCCGGAUUUAUUGGGUUUAAAGGGUGCGUAGGCGGCCUUGUAAGUCAGUGCUGAGAUAUCCCGGCUUAACCGGGAGGGUGGCAUUGAUACUGCGGGGCUUGAGUGAAGUCGAGGUAGGCGGAAUUGACGGUGUAGCGGUGAAAUGCUUAGAUAUCGUCAAGAACACCGUGGUGUAGACAGCUUACUAGGCUUUAACUGACGCUGAGGCACGAAAGUGUGGGGAUCAAACAGG